CCUCCCACCUCAGCCUCCCAAGUAGCUGGGACUACAGAUGUGAUCCUGACAGCACUCUGCAAUAGACUUCCUGGCUGCAACUCUCCAUCUUGGAGUCUGAUUCCUGGGGACCUGGCUCACAACAGCCCACCACAGGCUCUGAAGUCAGACAGAACUGGGUUUCAGUCUUAUCCGAAACACCAACUAGAUAUGUAAUCCUAGAGAUGGUGUGGGAGAAACAAAGCUUGCCGUGGCAACUAGAUCAGAUCUCUCAAAGACAACUUCCAUCUCUAUAGUAGCAACCACUGGGAGGCCCCAGCAUGACUAUAUGUUUGGCAGUGCUCUCUGUCUAGUGAAGAAUUCACACCUUCUUUAUUGGGCAAAAAUAACUAACAAAACUGGUCAUCUCUGCUUUUUACAACUCAAGUUGCCAGUUAAAAUUUUCUUGAACAAACAUGUUUUAUAACUUAACUAAACGGUUAUGAGUUUUAUGGUUUAAAGAUUGUAUUUACAAUCUGUAUAGUCCCAUACUUGUAUCUUGCAGAAAGCCACCUGUCUUCUUGCUGAACAUGAGGAAAGAAUGAGCAACUGUAAUAAUCAGGAAAAAUAUAUGUAUAUAUUACUUCUUACUUUAAAAAAAUUAUGAUAAAAUACACAUAA